rnacentral:hammerhead_ribozyme from 1 species
AUCCGGCUGAAGAAUCCUAAAUAGGACGAAACCCGCGUCCUGGAU